AGCUCCAAUAGCGUAUAUUAAAGUUGUUGCGGUUAAAAAGCUCGUAGUUGGAUUUCUGCUGAGGAUGACCGGUCCGUCCUCUGGACAGGCAUCUGGCUCAGCCUUGGCAUCUUCCUGAAGAACGUAGCUGCACUUGACUGUGUGGUGCGGUAUUUAGGACAUUUACUUUGAGGAAAUUAGAGUGUUUCAAGCAAGCGCACGCCUUGAAUACAUUAGCAUGGAAUAAUAAGAUAGGACCUCGGUUCUAUUUUGUUGGUUUCUAGAGCUGAGGUAAUGAUUGAUAGGGAUAGUUGGGGGCAUUCGUAUUGCAUUGUCAGAGGUGAAAUUCAUUGAUUAGUGCAAGACUAACUUAUGCGAAAGCAUUUGCCAAGGAUGUUUUCA
rnacentral:rRNA from 1 species